GGGGCCUGUAUUGAGACAUUGAGGGACUUGGCAUGAUAUGCUGAUAAGGCUGAGUUCUCCUCCUGGUCCUGGCCACAUGCCUGGGGACACAUCCUCCCUGCCUUCUUAAUUAUUUAAAAAAAAAAAAACGUCUUUUUCUUUUUGCGUCCAUACCUAUGCCAUAUGGGAGUACCCCGGCUAGGGGCUGAAUCAUAGCUGCAGCAGCAGGCCUACGCCACAGCAACUCAGGAUCCUUAACCCACUGAGUAAGGCCAGGUAUUGAACCUGCAUCCUCACAGAGACUACACCGGGUCCUUAACCUGCUGAGCCUCAAUGGGAACUCCGUGCCUGCCUUCUUCAUGAGUGAAUUUUGCUCUCUGGCCCAUUUGGGUUCCCUUUGGUCCUUCUCACAGCUCUUAAGGGCUCUCCGAGGAACUACCAGGGCUUAUGAAAAGAUGUUUGAAAAAUCCAUCUGGGGCACGAAGUGACAUGCUCAUCCGCAGGCUGGGUCUGUGCAUCUGUCGUGGGUCCCCCUCCCUCCAGGACCUCCUCCCAGCGGCUGGAAGGCCCCUCCUCAGACGGGGAAAUUCACUGGCACUGGGACUCGGCUGGGGCCGGUCAGCCUCUCCAGCCCCCAUAAUCUAAUAAUACCAAGGGGUGGGGUGGGGGGGCAGCUUUCAACAUCUCUGCUCAGGGCAAGGCCUGGAAACCGAGCAGCCAGGCUGCCACCCCCAAUGCCACCGGGGGCUCUGGCUCUGGUCCCCACACAGUUGCUUCAUCUGUAAAAUGGGUGGCUUGACGUGAUUACUCAGAUUCCACUGAGACUGGCAGGAGAGAGCUCCACCUGAGUCCCCCAACACCAAGACUCCCUUGUUUAGACCUGUGUAUGACCCCCGAGUUCCUGGUCGAGAGGACAGCCUGGGUUGAAUCAGAGUUAUAGCUGCUGGCCACAGCCACAGCAACACUGGGACUGAGCCACGUCUGCGACCUACACCACAGCUCACAGCAACACAAGAUCCUUAACCCACUGCGCAAGGCCAGGGAUCGAACCCGAAACUCAUGGUUCCUAGUCGGAUUCUUUCCCACUGUGCCAUGAUGGGAAUUCCUGUUUGUUUUUAAUGUGGCUCUCCAGUUGUUUCAGCUCUGUUUCUUGAAAAGAUUAUCCUUCUGCACUGACUCACCUUUACCUCUUUGUGAAAUCAAUUUGCCAUAUAUGUGCGGGACUGUUUCUUACCUGUUCUAUUAUAUUGCUCGACACAUCUGUCCUUUUACUAAUACCACGCUGUCUUGAUGAGAGUAGCCUUUUUUAGUUUUAUUGGAGUAGAGUUGACUUACAGUGUUGUAUUAAUUGAUGAGAGUGGCUUUACAGAAAGUCUUGAGUGGAAAUCCCUUACCUUUAUUCUAAAAUUGUUUUGCUUGUUCCACUUCCUUUACUGUUACAUAUAAAUUUUAGAAUCACGUUGUCAUUUUCAAUAAAAAGUCUUCCUGGAAUCUUGGUUGGGAUUACGCUGAAUCUAUGCAUUCAUUGGAAGGAGAGGGAAUUGACCUGUUAACAAUAUUGACUCUUCAGUUGGUGAACCCAGUAUAGCUCAGCACUCGUUUGAUUCGUUCUGAUUACUUUCUCAAUGUUUCAUAGUUUUCAGCAUACAGAUUUUCUACACAUUUUGUUAUUUAUACCUAUUUCAUGUACUUUUAUGAAAUGCUAAAUGGAACUUUAAAAAAUUUCAGCUUUUAGUUGUUCCAGCUAAUACAUAGAAAUACAAUUGAUUUUUAUAUAUUGAACUUUUAUCCUGUCACCUUGAUGAAUAUACCUAUUGUUAGUUCUUGUAGUUUUUUGUAUUUUUGUACAUUCUUUGGGAUUUCCUGUAUAGCCAGUCAUAUUAUCUGUGAAUAAAAUAGUUUUUUUUCCUUUCCAAUCUGGAUGCCCAUUCUUUUGUUCAUUCUUCCUUUUUCUUCCCUACUUCCCUCUCUCACUCCUUCUUUUUUUUUUUUUUUUUUUUUUUUUGGUUGGCUUAUUGCCUGCCUAUUACUAUUACCUCCAGUAUGAUAUUGAAAACCAUUGCUGAGGCUAUUCUUGCCUUUUUUUCCUAGUCUUAGAGGGGAAGCAUUAAUUCUUUUCAUUAUUUUUAAUGUAGAAAAUCUCCGUGAUUCUCUAAUUUUACCUAUUUAUGCCUUUAUGUUUAAAGUAUUAUUUCUUAAAAGGCAGCAAUAGUUGUGUCUUUCUUUUUUUUUUAAUCCAGUCUGAUAAUCUCUGCCUUUUAAUUAACGUGCCUAAUUGAGAUAUUUACAUUUAAUGGCAUUAUUGCUAUAAUUGCUUUAAAUCGAUUAUCUUGCUAUUUUAAAAAUGUUGGUUCUUUAUUCCUCUUUUCUACUUCUUUGAGAUUGCAAUUUUUCUAAUGAUUCUAUUUUGUCUCCUUUAUUGGCUUAUUAGCUGUAACUCUUUGUAUUAUUAUUUUAGUCGUUACUUUGGAGUUUUUAGCGUGCAUCUAUAACUGGUCAUAUCUACUUACAAAUAAUAUAAGAACCUUACGGCAGUAUCCUUCCCUUCUCUCCUCCUGGCCUGUGUUCUAUUUCUGUCACACCUUUUACGUCUGCAUAUGAUAGAGCUCCUCACUGUUACUAACCCAGCCAUUGUCAUCAUUUUUAUUAACUCAUAUGUUGUUAUUAUUUUUGCUGUAAACAAUUAUCUUUUAAAAGAGAUGCAAAUAGUUAAGGGAAAUAUUUUUUGUAUUGAAUGACAUAGUUCCCAUUUCUGAUGCUUUUCAUUCUUUCGUGUUUAUCUAAAUUUCAUCUGGCAUCAUUUUCCUUCUGCCUGAAGGACUUAACUUUAAAAUUUCUUAAAGAGUGCGGGUCUUUCAUUGAUUGAGACCUUCCAGCUUUUGGGUGACUGAAAAAGAAUUACGUGUUCAUUUUUGACAGCUAUUUUCACUGGGCAUAGACGUCCCAGGUUGACAGGCUUUUCAAAAUUUCCUUUCAGCACUUGAAAGAUGGUUGCACCAUCGUCUCGCAGCCAGAAGUCUGCUCCCUAUCUUAUCUUUGUUGCUCUGUGUAUCAUCCAGGUCUUUGCUCUGGUCUCCUUUUAAGGUGAUCUCUUUAUUGCUGGUUUUAAGCCACUUGAUUAUGAUACAUUUUGCUGUGGCUGGCUUUACAGUUCUCUUGCUUGAGGUUUGUUUAGCCUCUUGGAUGUGUAGUUGUUUUUUUUUUUUUUUUUAAUAAAAUUUGGGGGAAAUUGCCAUUAUUGCUUCAAAUAUUUUUCCUCUCUCCUUGCCUCUUCUCUUCUUUAGGGACUUCACUAAAGAUUUAUUUGGUUGCUUGAAAUGGCUCCACAGUCGAAUGAUGCUUCUUUUUUUCUCUUGUUCUUUUUUUCAGUGUUGUUGUUGGUUUUUUUUUUUUUUUUUUUUUUCUCUCUCUGUGUUUUGUUUUGGAUAGUUUCUGCGGCUGAUAUAUCACUAAUAUUUCUUCUGCCCUGUCUCAUCUGCUGUUCAUCCCAUGCAGGAGAUUUUUCUGCUCAAAUUGUAUUUUUCAUCUUCACACCGCUAAUCUGUGUUUUCCUUAUACCUUCCAUACCUCUACUUAAUAUGCUAAGGUUUACCUCUACCUCUUGAACAUCUGAAAUCUGGUUACAAUAAUUAUUUUAACGUCUUUAUCUACAAAUUAUGUCAUCUUUGUCAUAGCUAGGUCAUUUUGAUUGAUUUUCCUCCUCAUUAUGAGUCAUAUUUCCCCGCUUGUUUGUGUGCCUGAUACUCUUCAUUGGAUGCCAGAUAUUGUAAAUUAUGGGUUGCUAACUGUAUUUUAUUUAAUAUUCCUAAGUCUUGUUUGGGGAAAAAAAUUAAGUUACUUGGGAAACAGUUUGAUCUUUUCAAGGCUGCCUUUUAAACCGCUUUACACAAAACCAAAAUGCCCUUCAGUCUAGAACUAACUUUUCCCCACGACUUUGGCAAUAUUCUUCCAACUCUCCAGUGCCCUCUGUUUACGGGUCUUUUGUUUGUUUGUUUGUUUGUUUGUUUGCUUUUAACUCAGGCUGGUGGUAACACCAACUUUUCCCAACCCUGUGUGAUUUCUCUAAAUUGGUCUGCCUGCUCCUUUGGAGUGGCUCCUCUCCAGCCUCACAUGUGCUGCAAAGGACUCAGGUGAAGCCUGGGAGCAGGGGAACCUUCCUGCCGAUCCCAUUCUCUCUCUUGUACCUUGAAAUGGUUGUUGUUGUUAGUUGGUUGGUUGGCUGGGUUUCGUUUCCUUCUUUGGAAAUUAAAAAAAAACAAAAUGAUUAAAGUUGAUUUAUAAUGUUCUGUCAGUUUCUGCUCUACUAUAUAUAUAUAUAUAUAUAUAUUCUUUUUCUCACAUUAUCCUCCAUCAUGUUCCAUCACAAGCAAUGAGAUGUGCUACACAGCACAUCUGAAAUCUGCUGUGCUACACAGCAGGAUCUCAUUGCUUGUCCACUCCAAAUGCUAUAGUUUGCAUUACAUCAGACCAAUACCUCUGCAAUGCCAUUCUGUGAAUAGAAAGAAAAAAAAAAA
rnacentral:lncRNA from 1 species